CUAACGUCCGUCGUGAAGAGGGAAACAACCCAGACCGCCAGCUAAGGUCCCAAAGUCAUGGUUAAGUGGGAAACGAUGUGGGAAGGCCCAGACAGCCAGGAUGUUGGCUUAGAAGCAGCCAUCAUUUAAAGAAAGCGUAAUAGCUCACUGGUCGAGUCGGCCUGCGCGGAAGAUGUAACGGGGCUAAACCAUGCACCGAAGCUGCGGCAGCGACGCUUAUGCGUUGUUGGGUAGGGGAGCGUUCUGUAAGCCUGUGAAGGUGUGCUGUGAGGUAUGCUGGAGGUAUCAGAAGUGCGAAUGCUGACAUAAGUAACGAUAAAGCGGGUGAAAAGCCCGCUCGCCGGAAGACCAAGGGUUCCUGUCCAACGUUAAUCGGGGCAGGGUGAGUCGACCCCUAAGGCGAGGCCGAAAGGCGUAGUCGAUGGGAAACAGGUUAAUAUUCCUGUACUUGGUGUUACUGCGAAGG
rnacentral:rRNA from 1 species